GCUUCUUUCCUCCCGAGUGCUUGCACUCAAUUGGAAAGAGGAGUGGCGGACGGGUGAGUAACACGUGGGUAACCUACCCAUCAGAGGGGGAUAACACUUGGAAACAGGUGCUAAUACCGCAUAACAGUUUAUGCCGCAUGGCAUAAGAGUGAAAGGCGCUUUCGGGUGUCGCUGACGGAUGGACCCGCGGUGCAUUAGCUAGUUGGUGAGGUAACGGCUCACCAAGGCCACGAUGCAUAGCCGACCUGAGAGGGUGAUCGGCCACACUGGGACUGAGACACGGCCCAGACUCCUACGGGAGGCAGCAGUAGGGAAUCUUCGGCAAUGGACGAAAGUCUGACCGAGCAACGCCGCGUGAGUGAAGAAGGUUUUCGGAUCGUAAAACUCUGUUGUUAGAGAAGAACAAGGACGUUAGUAACUGAACGUCCCCUGACGGUAUCUAACCAGAAAGCCACGGCUAACUACGUGCCAGCAGCCGCGGUAAUACGUAGGUGGCAAGCGUUGUCCGGAUUUAUUGGGCGUAAAGCGAGCGCAGGCGGUUUCUUAAGUCUGAUGUGAAAGCCCCCGGCUCAACCGGGGAGGGUCAUUGGAAACUGGGAGACUUGAGUGCAGAAGAGGAGAGUGGAAUUCCAUGUGUAGCGGUGAAAUGCGUAGAUAUAUGGAGGACGCACCAGUGGCGAAGGCGGCUCUCUGGUCUGUAACUGACGCUGAGGCUCGAAGCGUGGGGAGCAA
rnacentral:rRNA from 1 species